AAUGCUAUACAUGCCAUACUCAAAAUAUACAAGCCAUUAUGCCAAGAUGGUAUACGGAUAGUGUGAGCGAGCCUCCGACCAUUCCCGAUUUCCGAGCUGGCUUGUCAAAACUAAAAGGAAUGAAAAGGAGGGAGUAAGCAUAAAUGCUUAAUAAGUUCACAUGCAAAUAGCAAGUAACAUAACCAUAUAAGCAAACAUAAAACAUCAUUUGCAUAAUCAUCACCAAGACAUUCAUAUCACAUUUUCAUUUAUCAUCUUACCAUAUUGUUGUUAUAUCGAUUUUUCAACCCGAGGGUUAAGUACAUACCUGUUCAAAGUAUCCAUUUCACAACACUUACCAAUACGUCCCUUUCAUCUUGAGUAUUCCUCUAUUUCAGUAGAACUUUACCCGUUGAACACAUCGGAAUAUAAUUCAGAUACAUGGAAAGUUUGCACAUAAGUGCCACAUAUGUAGCCAAGCUACCAUGUAACCCGCCCAUAAGUGAACUCGGACUCAACUCAACGAGCUCGGGCGUUUGCAUCCAUAAGUGAACUCGGACUCAACUCAACGAGCUCGGAUGCCUAGUAACAUCUCUCGAACUCGGACUCAACUCAACGAGUUCGGAUGCUCAACCAUCCUAGUGACAUGUCACUUGUAUCCUAAUCUAUUCCUAAGGUUCAAACGGGCUUUUUUCCUCGAUCUCACAUCUUUGCCGUCUUCCACGGAAUAUCGGAACCGAUACUCGGUGAUAGUUCAUACUCAUCAAGUAAUUCACAUAAUUACAUAUUAUUCAACAAUAACCACAAAACAUAACGUUUCAUGAUAAUAAUAAGCAUCAUAUCAUAUAAACAACAUUAAAUUCCUUAAAACAACAAUUAUGUUACUACAUUUACACAUGAACUUACCUCGUAUGCGAAAAUGGCUACUUUUACCAUUUCGUCCACAACUUGGUAUUUUCCCCAUUUUAGCCCGAAUUUCAGUUUUCCUUGCUUAUGGAGCUUGGAAGCUUGAAACAAACCCUAGCUAUGGAGAGCCC
rnacentral:lncRNA from 1 species